UAAUAUUUUGUAUAUAUAUCUCGAAUAUUUAACGGUGACAAAUAUAUGUCUUGUUAUCAUCCCUACUACAAACUUGAUACAAACCGGUUCCUUGCUUCAUUUUUUUUUUUUUUUUUUUGUGCACUCAAAAUCAAUGUGAUGUUUAAUAUUUGCUACAAAACAAUACAAAAUUCAGAACUUAAUUUUAUCUAAUAAACACAAAGAUUUACCACUCUAGCCCAUAAAUUGAGACAAAAUUAAUUCCAAAAGGAAAAAGAGGAGAAGGAGUUUUAUUUUCUUCAAACGAACCAAAAUAUAGAGAGAAAAACUUUUUUUAUUUUGUCUCUGAAACAAAAAAGAGAAAAAACAUUGUAAAAACACAAAGAAGAAUAAGAGAUUCCGAAGUCAUUUUAAUAAUACAACCAACAAAGAGAAUUGCAUACGAUACCUCCAUCGAAUUGCAUAUGAUACCUCCACCGUUGGCUUCUCAAGGUUCACUGGUCUUCAUUCCCGAUUCUAUUCGUUAAACUGCUCAAGCAAUAAAUGCAGCAUCACUCCAUGACUUAUUAGCAGAACACUGUUUUGAAGAUGGUUGUAGUUUUACACGAAAAGCUAGAGCGGUCCUCAUUAUGUCUUGAAGUUCUGAUGGAUAUAUCCUUAUGUUAGUAUCAUUGGCCUUUAACAUGUUUCAGGUAAAUGAAUUAUGUCAUAUUAUGUUGUAACCGAUAAAUAUGCAAACUAUGAAGUUACUUGGACUAAGCAUUAUAUACAUGCCUCAAUCAUAUUCUUCCUCAUUUGAAGUGUUGAAAUUCCAAGUAAUGAAGUACAAUCAUUGUCCCACAUAAGGAAGUUACAAAAGCAAUUGUCGUAGAAAACUUCAAUGAUCAUUAUGUAUUUGUUUUAUGUUGUUUAGUAGUGAUACCAAUAAGUGUUUGAUAUAAGGACUCUAAUAUUAAUUUACAAAUUCUGAUAAAUUAAGGUUGAAUAUUGAACUA